rnacentral:rRNA from 1 species
GGGACACGUGGUAUCCUGUCUGAAUAUGGGGGGACCAUCCUCCAAGGCUAAAUACUCCUGACUGACCGAUAGUGAACCAGUACCGUGAGGGAAAGGCGAAAAGAACCCCGGCGAGGGGAGUGAAAAAGAACCUGAAACCGUGUACGUACAAGCAGUGGGAGCCUCUUUAUGGGGUGACUGCGUACCUUUUGUAUAAUGGGUCAGCGACUUAUAUUCUGUAGCAAGGUUAACCGAAUAGGGGAGCCGAAGGGAAACCGAGUCUUAACUGGGCGUUAAGUUGCAGGGUAUAGACCCGAAACCCGGUGAUCUAGCCAUGGGCAGGUUGAAGGUUGGGUAACACUAACUGGAGGACCGAACCGACUAAUGUUGAAAAAUUAGCGGAUGACUUGUGGCUGGGGGUGAAAGGCCAAUCAAACCGGGAGAUAGCUGGUUCUCCCCGAAAGCUAUUUAGGUAGCGCCUCGUGAAUUCAUCUCCGGGGGUAGAGCACUGUUUCGGCAAGGGGGUCAUCCCGACUUACCAACCCGAUGCAAACUGCGAAUACCGGAGAAUGUUAUCACGGGAGACACACGGCGGGUGCUAACGUCCGUCGUGAAGAGGGAAACAACCCAGACCGCCAGCUAAGGUCCCAAAGUCAUGGUUAAGUGGGAAACGAUGUGGGAAGGCCCAGACAGCCAGGAUGUUGGCUUAGAAGCAGCCAUCAUUUAAAGAAAGCGUAAUAGCUCACUGGUCGAGUCGGCCUGCGCGGAAGAUGUAACGGGGCUAAACCAUGCACCGAAGCUGCGGCAGCGACGCUUAUGCGUUGUUGGGUAGGGGAGCGU